rnacentral:rRNA from 1 species
CUUAGAAGCAGCCAUCAUUUAAAGAAAGCGUAAUAGCUCACUGGUCGAGUCGGCCUGCGCGGAAGAUGUAACGGGGCUAAACCAUGCACCGAAGCUGCGGCAGCGACACUAUGUGUUGUUGGGUAGGGGAGCGUUCUGUAAGCCUGUGAAGGUGUACUGUGAGGUAUGCUGGAGGUAUCAGAAGUGCGAAUGCUGACAUAAGUAACGAUAAAGCGGGUGAAAAGCCCGCUCGCCGGAAGACCAAGGGUUCCUGUCCAACGUUAAUCGGGGCAGGGUGAGUCGACCCCUAAGGCGAGGCCGAAAGGCGUAGUCGAUGGGAAACAGGUUAAUAUUCCUGUACUUGGUGUUACUGCGAAGGGGGGACGGAGAAGGCUAUGUUGGCCGGGCGACGGUUGUCCCGGUUUAAGCGUGUAGGCUGAUUUUCCAGGCAAAUCCGGAAAAUCAAGGCUGAGGCGUGAUGACGAGGCACUACGGUGCUGAAGCAACAAAUGCCCUGCUUCCAGGAAAAGCCUCUAAGCAUCAGGUAACAUCAAAUCGUACCCCAAACCGACACAGGUGGUCAGGUAGAGAAUACCAAGGCGCUUGAGAGAACUCGGGUGAAGGAACUAGGCAAAAUGGUGCCGUAACUUCGGGAGAAGGCACGCUGAUAUGUAGGUGAAGCGACUUGCUCGUGGAGCUGAAAUCAGUCGAAGAUACCAGCUGGCUGCAACUGUUUAUUAAAAACACAGCACUGUGCAAACACGAAAGUGGACGUAUACGGUGUGACGCCUGCCCGGUGCCGGAAGGUUAAUUGAUGGGGUUAGCGGUAACGCGAAGCUCUUGAUCGAAGCCCCGGUAAACGGCGGCCGUAACUAUAACGGUCCUAAGGUAGCGAAAUUCCUUGUCGGGUAAGUUCCGACCUGCACGAAUGGCGUAAUGAUGGCCAGGCUGUCUCCACCCGAGACUCAGUGAAAUUGAACUCGCUGUGAAGAUGCAGUGUACCCGCGGCAAGACGGAAAGACCCCGUGAACCUUUACUAUAGCUUGACACUGAACAUUGAGCCUUGAUGUGUAGGAUAGGUGGGAGGCUUUGAAGUGUGGACGCCAGUCUGCAUGGAGCCGACCUUGAAAUACCACCCUUUAAUGUUUGAUGUUCUAACGUUGGCCCGUUAUCCGGGUUGCGGACAGUGUCUGGUGGGUAGUUUGACUGGGGCGGUCUCCUCCUAAAGAGUAACGGAGGAGCACGAAGGUUGGCUAAUCCUGGUCGGACAUCAGGAGGUUAGUGCAAUGGCAUAAGCCAGCUUGACUGCGAGCGUGACGGCGCGAGCAGGUGCGAAAGCAGGUCAUAGUGAUCCGGUGGUUCUGAAUGGAAGGGCCAUCGCUCAACGGAUAAAAGGUACUCCGGGGAUAACAGGCUGAUACCGCCCAAGAGUUCAUAUCGACGGCGGUGUUUGGCACCUCGAUGUCGGCUCAUCACAUCCUGGGGCUGAAGUAGGUCCCAAGGGUAUGGCUGUUCGCCAUUUAAAGUGGUACGCGAGCUGGGUUUAGAACGUCGUGAGACAGUUCGGUCCCUAUCUGCCGUGGGCGCUGGAGAACUGAGGGGGGCUGCUCCUAGUACGAGAGGACCGGAGUGGACGCAUCACUGGUGUUCGGGUUGUCAUGCCAAUGGCACUGCCCGGUAGCUAAAUGCGGAAGAGAUAAGUGCUGAAAGCAUCUAAGCACGAAACUUGCCCCGAGAUGAGUUCUCCCUGACUCCUUGAGAGUCCUGAAGGAACGUUGAAGACGACGACGUUGAUAGGCCGGGUGUGUAAGCGCAGCGAUGCGUUGAGCUAACCGGUACUAAUGAACCGUGAGGCUUAACCUUACAACGCCGAAG